rnacentral:rRNA from 1 species
AUUGAACGCUGGCGGAAUGCUUUACACAUGCAAGUCGAACGGUAGAGGGGGCAACCCCUUGAGAGUGGCGAACGGGUGAGUAAUGUAUCGGAACGUGCCCAGUCGUGGGGGAUAACGUAGUGAAAAUUACGCUAAUACCGCAUACGAUCUAUGGAUGAAAGCGGGGGAUCGCAAGACCUCGCGCGAUUGGAGCGGCCGAUAUCAGAUUAGGUAGUUGGUAGGGUAAAGGCCUACCAAGCCAACGAUCUGUAGCUGGUCUGAGAGGACGACCAGCCACACUGGAACCGAGACACGGUCCAGACUCCUACGGGAGGCAGCAGUGGGGAAUUUUGGACAAUGGGCGAAAGCCUGAUCCAGCCAUUCCGCGUGCAGGAUGAAGGCCCUCGGGUUGUAAACUGCUUUUGUACGGAACGAAAAGGUUUCUAUUAAUACUAGGAGCUCAUGACGGUACCGUAAGAAUAAGCACCGGCUAACUACGUGCCAGC